rnacentral:tRNA from 1 species
GCGGGUGUGGUUCAAUGGCAGAACAUUAGCUUCCCAAGCUAGUAACAGGGGUUCGAUUCCCCUCACCCGCU